GACGUAGGGUGCGAGCGUUAAUCGGAAUUACUGGGCGUAAAGCGUGCGCAGGCGGUUCGUUGUGUCUGAUGUGAAAGCCCCGGGCUCAACCUGGGAAUGGCAUUGGAAACUGGCGAGCUAGAGUGUGGCAGAGGGGGGUGGAAUUCCGCGUGUAGCAGUGAAAUGCGUAGAGAUGCGGAGGAACACCGAUGGCGAAGGCAGCCCCCUGGGCUAGCACUGACGCUCAGGCACGAAAGCGUGGGGAGCAAACAGG
rnacentral:rRNA from 1 species